GACGAACGCUGGCGGCGUGCCUAACACAUGCAAGUCGAGCGAACGGACCAGAAGUUUGCGGCGCGGAUGUUAGCGGCGGACGGGAGAGUAACACGUGUAUAACCUACCUAUAAGACUGGUAUAAUUACGGGAAACCGGAGCUAAUAGCGGAGGAUAUUUUGCACCGCGGUGUGCAAAAGUGAGAUACGGUCUUUGGGGCAGUUAUAGAGGGAUCCGCGCUGGAUGAGCUAGUUGGUAAGGUAAAGGCUUACCAAGGCUAGGAUGCAUAGACGACCUGAGAGAGUGAUCGGCCACACUGGAGGUGAGGCGCGGACCCGACUCCUGCGGGAAGCCGCAGUAGGGAAUCUUACGCAAUGGGCGAGAGCCUGGCAGAGCAACGCGGCGUGAGUGAUGACAAUGUUCGGAUCGUGAAGCUCUGUUAUUAGGGGAGAACAUAUGUGUCCGUAACUGUGCAGAUCUUGACGGUACCUAAUCAGAAAGCCCCGGCUAACUACGUG
rnacentral:rRNA from 1 species